GUUACUUAAAUUAAGUCUUAAAUUUUAAGCUCUUUUUAAUUUCUGUUAAAAUCCUAUUAAAAUUAACCGAUUUGUAAGUCGUCGCUAUUGGUAAUAAACUAUUUCUAUUGUGUGUCAAAGCGGAAAAAUCUUGAUCUUUAUUGAUGAAACUGGUUUAUUAUGAGCUUGGAAGGUUAAACAAAACUGGUUUUAUGCAAAUCAGUUCCUGUGACCACAUUUAAUCUCGUGGUAUUCACCAAACCAGAAAAAUGUACUCAGUGAAAGAACCAAUCGACCGGUAAAUAAAUCUGACGUAAUAAUAAUUUGUUAAUCUUUGAACAAUUUUCCAUAUCAAUUUUUAGAGCUCUGGAAAGCAAGAAUUUACACAAGCAAUAAAUAGAAGAAUUAUAAUUGUUCCCACUUUUAUAUAUCAAUUGAAAUUGAAAUGAAGGAUAAGGAGAUGGAGACAAGUUAAGGAAGUAAUGAAGCCAGACGAGAUCAAGACUCAACUCACGUAAUCAAAAUAUGAGACAAACAUUCAAUUACAUGGACUUUGUAAGACCUAGAGUUGAUAGACACGUGAAAUGCUAUUUUUAUUGUAAUAUUUCUGCUGCUAUUUGUUUCCAUCAAAUAGCCUAAGUAUAAUUACAAGGACAUUGUGGAAAAUUUGCCUUCAUUUUUCGAUAAGAUGUCUACCAUGAAAAAGUAGAAUGAUCGCUUCAUCUAUUGAUGUUAAACUUAUGGUAAAAGAAGUUUCAAGAAGAGGAAAAUUAGACCUGAAACAAACAUUUACUCAGCACUUGCAUAAAGAGUGGGGACGCGUGUACAGUAUAAUUAUUUUCAUCAACAACUCAUCACUAUGUCAGGUUACUAACAUCCAUUUGUUGACAUUAGUACACGAUACCAGCUUGUGGUUAACCCAAUCUACCUAGAUUAAUUCAAGGUCUCGCCAUUAUUCUUAGUUAUCAUUACUGAAGCUACAGAUUCGCCUAUUUUGACUGCAGUGUUUGUAUUGUUUCGCAUUUCGAUAUCCUGUACAAUUGUUCUUGUUCUUGUACUUUGUUCCAUAUUUGCAAAGAUUGCUCUCGGUACAAUCAAGAGGUACCAGAGAUCAGAACAAACUGAAACAAAAUUUAACCUAAUGUCUUGUUGUUGUCCCCAUUUUUAGGUUCAAGAGAUUUCUUGGUAAAACAUAUUGAUAAAUCAAAAGUGCUGCACACGUGAGAUGGAAAUACAAGGGUCAAAUUUGUCGCAUGAUAGGAAAAUUGGUUAAUUUAUUGAAUUGAUUUGCAGGUUAGCUGGUAAUUUUCUGUUCUCCAUAGCACGAACAAACAAUUGUUUACAAUCUUGUUUUGAAGAUCAAAAGUAUAAAAGCAAAAUAUCACUUCAACUUUCGAUGUUUGAUAAAAUAGUGAUAACCAACCAUUAGUCGCAUAAAUCCAGACGGAAAUUUUGCUGCAACCAUUAAGUAUUGCUGUUUCAGCUACAAUUUUAAGACUUUUCUUCAUACUGGUUUAUUGAAGACCAAUCAGGCUUUAGUUCAGUUAUAUAAUUGAUAUUAUAAUUAUUAAAUCUUCACAGCACUUUUCCUACUGAGCUUUUUGAUGGUUAUCGCGAGUGCCAGCAUGUCGCAAGUUCACUUGAUGAAACAGCUUACAAUGAAAAGAGCCUGAAAGAUGAUUAGUAUGGAGUUGGUCAAAAUUUCAAUCCGUAAGAUGUAUUGUUGCCAGAUAAUGAAGUAGAUGGACGCUAAUAAGGUUGGUGUUAAAACUGCGGCUGAAACAAAAGGUUGAUCAACAUAAGAUAAAAUGAAACUCAGAUGAUGAAUAACGGCAAUCACUACCAGCAGGGAAAGCUCCAACCAGAAUAUGAGUGAAUCAUAAGGAAGUCUAAUACCUUUCCAUAUAAAUAUGCACAAACUAACAAUCAAAUAAAAGUUUACGUAUCGUUGGGUGAAAAAAUGGAUUACACUGUGUAUUAGAUUCAUUUAUACAAUUUGAAUUUUUUUGCUAUCAAAUUAAACCUAAAAUAAAUUUACCAUGUUUCUGGUUAACUCUGGUUGCGAUGGUGAUCAUUAUUGAAAUUGAACAAAACAAAACAGUUUCUGUUGCUAUUAUUUAUCACUGAGUUUUACCUCCAAUAAUUUAAAUUGUUAGCUUAGAAAAGAAGUAAUUUUAAAUUAUUUUAAUUGUUUCGAUUCCCUUUCGCGAAUAAUUGAUAAAUUUUGUAAAAACCGCUAGUCUAUUUGAACCUUUCUGCUCAUCUGUAGUGGUGAAGCGAAAAAUAAACCUCGAAACUGUUUUAAUGAACUUGUUAUCAAACUAUUUUAUAUUUAUACUAAUUUAACUGUGAUUAAGUGAAGUUUUGUGUUUAAUUUUUAUGAUAUUGUAAACGAUUAAUAAUGGUAACCAUGGAUGGUCCUAAAUCGGUGAAGACUGUCAAUAUUGUGACCAAUCCAUCGAUAUUUCUUGGUCAAGAGACGGCUUCUUUCAAAUGGUUAUUUUUGUUUGUCAAAUGGCUUUUCAUAACCAUUAAUGCUAUUGCCUUGGCUGGUCAACUUUAUUGUUUAUUUGCUCCUAAUGUAAUCAUUUGGUCUCCCGAUACUGCUCUUACAAUAUUGGGCAUAUUUUUCGGAAUCGUCCUUUCUUUCGUUGCUCUCUUCGGUGCUGUCAAGGAGGAAUGUUACAUCAUUUUGACCUACAAUAUUUUCAUUUCGGUUAUUUACAUUGUUUCGGUUUACCAUCAAUGGGGUUCCUUGAUCGAAGAGAUUUCACUCUUCUUCUACGUUCUUCUUUGCUACCUUUUCGCCCAUUUAAUGUACCGUAAAUGUCCAAUACCAGCCAAAUGACAUGCCAGUUUGGAUCUUGGUCUCAUUUUGAACAACCAGUUCAUCAUCCCAAUGAGUUUUCUGGUAAAAGAAAGCAUUAUUGUCUUGCGAUACAGCUUGUGCAUUCCUAAUGAAGAUUUGAAGAUUGCUUAUCAUCCAUGAGCCUUGCCUUCGACUCAAAAUGAUCACAACUUCCACGUAUUAUUUAAUUCAUCAUCAUUGAUAAAUCGUGAUGGUGGCCAUCGUUUUGUUACUAUUUUAUUAAGUACGAUGUCUAAUAAUCUUCAAAACUUUGCAAGACAUUUUCAUUAACAGAUGAAUCGAUAUCUCAAGAAACGUGUCCCAGUCCAAUGAUGCUGAUAUCGGUUUUCCUUUAACUGGAAAAUAAAGAGCACAAGAAGCAAUUUUGCUAAGAAAUAGUGAUUUGAACUCAUGGAAAUGGCUCUUUAUUAUUCUAAGAUGAUGACGAUUUGCAUUAAGUUUGAAAAUAACUAUCUAAUUGUUGAAGAUGGUACUCUAAUUACAAGUAAAACUACUCCUAUCCAACUUAUUUCACUUCUCAACGAGAAAUUAUCUGAUGUAAAUUGUUCUUGUGUUGUUUUGAUUGUUAUAAGCGAACAUCUUGAAAAUUUUUCAUCUAUUGAUUGAUGACAAUAGAAUGAUCUUUCUUAUUAAUGUCAACUUUCUAUGUCAGUCAUUCUGAACGCAAAUAAUGUAAUUUUUUUUAAACUCAAUAAAUAACGCAGAGAAAUGGCAAUAUAAUCUUGUAUUCUGAAUAAAAUAUUGAAUGUUCCUGCAAUAUCUCGCAAUAAAAGAAACAAGCAUAAUGGUAGAUAAACUGAAUGAUUAUGAAUGUGAAUGAACCUGUGAAAUUAUGAUGCACAAGUCUAAUAAUUGGAGCAAUAUCAACUCAUCUAAUCUGUUUGAUUGAAUCCUUGAACCUUUUGGAACUGUUUGAUAUUAUAAUUGUAAUGAACUACACGAUUCAACAAGCUAAUCGACAACUAAUCAAUCUAUCAACGUUUUAUGUUUUCAUGUCUUAAGCACUUUUUUGUAGCAUAAUUCAAGCUCUCAUUUAUAUAAUUUUGAUUGUAAUGUCUAUUUAGUGAUAACUAUUGAAUAAAAAUGAUCUUCAUUUUCUAGACUUAAGACUAUGA